rnacentral:rRNA from 1 species
AUGCCCCUAAUCGACAAGUUCUCUGGAAAAUUCAAAGGGUGGAAGCCGAAGAUGCUAGCCACGGUGGGCUGCCUCUCCCUUACACGAUCGGUGCUGAUGGCGCUGCCGAUCCAUUUUAUGGCCGUGCUACCACUCCCAAUGUGGGCCAUUAAAAUCAUCAACAGAAAAUGCAGAGGGUUCAGUUGGAAAGGAGAAGAGCAAGUUAGUGGGGGGCACUGCCUCAUGCCUUGGGCAAGGGUUUGCAUGCCAAGGGAAUUUGGAGGACUAGGGAUCAUUAACCUUAAGUGCUUUGGGAUGGCCCUGCGCUGCAAAUGGUCGUGGCUGAGGCGGGACUUGGAAGAGCGGCCGUGGCAUUGGCUU